rnacentral:rRNA from 1 species
CCUACGGGAGGCAGCAGUAGGGAAUAUUGCACAAUGGGGGAAACCCUGAUGCAGCAACGCCGCGUGAGUGAAGAAGGCCCUUGGGUUGUAAAGCUCUUUAGCGAGGAAAGAAGCUUCGCCGAACUAAUACUUCGGCGGGGUGACGGUACCUCGAGAAUAAGCACCGGCUAAUUUCGUGCCAGCAGCCGCGGUAAUACGAAAGGUGCAAGCGUUACUCGGAAUUACUGGGCGUAAAGCGCACGUAGGCGGAUUCGUAUGUCAAUUGUGAAAGCCCUGGGCUCAACCCGGGAAUUGCAGUUGAAACUGCGUUUCUUGAAUACCUGAGAGGGUGGGGGAAUACCUAGUGGAGAAGUGAAAUUCGUAGAGAUUAGGUGGAACACCGGAGGCGAAGGCGCCUGCCUGGCAGUGUAUUGACGCUGAGGUGCGAAAGUGUGGGGAGCAAACAGGAUUAGAUACCCUUGUAGUC